GAAUAUAUAAAUUGGUGAUGUGAGACGCAGUAAAAGCCUAGAAUACGAUUAUUCAUUGUGAAUUGUGAAUUGUGAUUGUAGCGUGCUCGCGUUUUUUGUUCCAUCAUCGGAGAAGAUCUUUUUCCGCUUUUCGUUUCACAAGGCUUUUAGGUCACUUGAAAUGGCGUCAAGGCACCGUGUACACAGAGAACCCUUGAAUGCUCGAAGGGGCUACCCUCAGGAAGGGCCCUAUUCCCGCGUGCCUCCGAUGCCGCGCGCGCCGCCGCCGAUGCCUCCUCACCCGGCUGUGUUGGAAGAGGAACUUGAAUUCCAGCAUGCCGAGAUGCGGAGGCUGGUGGCAGACAACCGGAGGUUGAUUGAUGACCGAAUGGCGCUGCAGCGAGAACUUGCCGCCGCGAAGGAGGAGCUUCAUCGCAUGAAUCUCGCCAUUGGCGACAUCCGCGCCGAGCAUGAGGCGCAUUCCAGGGAGCUUGUUGAGAAAGGCUUGAAGAUGGAGGCUGACCUUAGGGCAAAUGAGCCCUUAAAGGGUGAAGUUAUGCAACUGCGAGCUGAAGUUCAGAAGCUCAACAGUCUCAAACAAGAGCUGACAGGGAAGGUUCAGACGCUUACUCAGGAUGUUUCAAGGUUGCAAGCAGAUAAUCAACAAAUUCCAAUGAUGAGGGCUGAGAUUGAUGGCCUGCACCAAGAGCUAAUGCGUGCCAGAACCAUGGUCGAUUAUGAAAAGAAGGCAAACAUAGAGUUCAUGGAACAGAGGCAGUCAAUGGAGAAAAAUUUGGUUUCCAUGGCCCGGGAAGUUGAGAAAUUACGCGCUGAGCUUGCUAGUGCUGAUGGCAGACACUGGAGUGCUGGUGGGCCUUAUGGAACAAAGUUUGGUAACCCGGAGGGGGGUUUUCCAACUCCAUAUGCAGAUGCAUAUGGUGUUCACUUGGGUGCUGCAGAUAAAGGUCCUCUGUAUGGAGCAGGUGCUGCUUCAAGAAAGGGACAUGAGAAACCUCGCAUGAGUCGUCGUUGAAAUUCAAAUGAUGGAUGUUGGUGAUGAAGAAAGGCUUGCCAUCACUUUGCCUUUUCUGUUAACAGAAUAGCUGGGAUUGAGUUUGAUGUUCUGUGUAUGCAUGCGACACCAAUGGUCAUUUUAUCUGGAACUCUGGAUAUAUUUUAUCCUAAACUGCAUAUAUGAAAAGCUGGGAAUCUUGUUUGGGGCUGAGAAGUAACGAAAAACCCCAUAUAUUUAUUUUGAAGAACACCAGUAGGAUCUUUAUUAUUUCAAAAUGCAAAAUCUGUGGAAGCUUCGAGGGGACUGAAAAACCAUUGGUCACUGGUGGAUGGAUGUAUUUUACCUGGCCGUGAUGGACUUAGAGAGGUAUUAGCAUGCCUUUGUUGUGUCGGAUCAUAUUGUUGUGAGAUUGGAAAUGAAAGCUUUAGUGGUAAGCAUGGAUUGUUUCAAACUUACAAUUGUUAGUUUGCUAGAUGGAGCCUGAGUCCUUGCUUCAGAUUUUGCUUACCAUGUCUGAGGGAUGCCUCAGCCUCAGUAUCUAUCUUGAGGUACGUUCAGUACAGGCCCCAAAUUCAGAUUGAUUCUAAGAAUCCACUACCUUUUGUUUCAAGGCUGGUCAGGAAUAUUGAGCCUCUUUCGUACACUUUUUUGUUGUUCCCUAUUAGAUUUGGCAUUGAAAGUUAGCCACGUUUGCAAUGUGCAGAAUAAUAUCGAUGAAAACCCAACACAUUGCAGACAAAUUGGGAUCAUCAUAUUUUGUUGUGUUAUCCUCAUGCUUGGACAGCUUUACCUUCUCAUAUUGGUUAUGAUCAAAGCUGCGCAACUAGAGUUGAGAGGCUAUUUAUGAGGAUGGUUUGGCUGGGCUUGGCCAUGGUUAUGAUCCUGGUCCUGGUUUCCAAUUUUUGACCCAUCUAUUUCAGUUUUCUGUUGCCUUAAUGGUUGAUUAUAGUGCAGUUGCUUUUGAUCGUGUGAUUGUGGUUUAGUUGUCGUUGAACUAGAUACCCGUUACUUAUUAGGGUUUUAUUAUUUUUAGUUCAAUUAUCUAUUUGGUCUUGCAAAGUAGCAUGAUUUUCCCGUUUGGUACCUAAUUUAGUCGAUGUAAAUUCCUUUUUCCAUUCCAAUGCAUUCAUGUGCUAAUCGUUCAGUAGUUUGUA